UGGAGAUAGUUUGUAGCAACGGAUGUUUGAGUAAUUGCGUUGAGUUGAUAUUUUCUGGAGAAAGGAGGAGAGGGGGAGUGGUGAGGGCCUGGAGGAGGAGGAGGGAGGAUUGA
rnacentral:rRNA from 1 species